AUUGAACGCUGGCGGCAGGCUUAACACAUGCAAGUCGAGCGGAGCGAGGGUGCUUGCACCUUAGCUUAGCGGCGGACGGGUGAGUAAUGCUUAGGAAUCUGCCUAUUAGUGGGGGACAACAUUCCGAAAGGAAUGCUAAUACCGCAUACGCCCUACGGGGGAAAGCAGGGGAUCUUUGGACCUUGCGCUAAUAGAUGAGCCUAAGUCGGAUUAGCUAGUUGGGGGGGUAAAGGCCUACCAAGGCGACGAUCUGUAGCGGGUCUGAGAGGAUGAUCGGCCACACUGGGACUGAGACACGGCCCAGACUCCUACGGGAGGCAGCAGUGGGGAAUAUUGGACAAUGGGCGGAAGCCUGAUCCAGCCAUGCCGCGUGUGUGAAGAAGGCCUUUUGGUUGUAAAGCACUUUAAGCGAGGAGGAGGAGCUCUAGGUUAAUACCCUAGAUGCUUGGACGUUACUCGCAGAAUAAGCACCGGCUAACUCUGUGCCAGCAGCCGCCGUAAUAC
rnacentral:rRNA from 1 species